AGGGCCAUAUCAUUUUGAAACAACGGUUCUCAUAUGAUCACCGAAGUUAAGCAACAUUAAGCCUGAUCAGUGCCGAGAUUGGUGACUGCUUGAGAAUACCAGGUGCUGUA